UACGGAGGGUGCAAGCGUUAAUCGGAAUUACUGGGCGUAAAGCGCACGCAGGUGGCUGAGUCAGUCGAUUGUGAAAGCCCUGGGCUUAACCUGGGAAUUGCAGUCGAUACUACUCAGCUAGAGUAUGGGAGAGGGCAGUGGAAUUCCCGGUGUAGCGGUGAAAUGCGUAGAUAUUGGGAAGAACACCGGUGGCGAAGGCGGCUCACUGGCUCGUAACUGACGCUCAUGCACGACAGCGUGGGGAUCAAACAGG
rnacentral:rRNA from 1 species